GGAAGCUUAUGCACUUGUAAGAGAGUCAAACCGGGAAAUAUUUGCUAGAGAUCCAUAUUCUAAUGCUAGUUCUAGGAGAUGUAAUCGAAUUUCUCCUGAAAGGGCAAUCAUGUAUUGUAUAUUUAAAGGAUCUGCACUAAGAGAGGAAGUUCCCCUUGAUAUAUACAUUACUGGAAAAGAGUAUCGUGCUUCUUGUCUUUAGAGAGAGAGGAAGAGCCUGGCUGCUAAUUCACACUGAUGCUUCUUUAGACAGGUACCAGAGAGGCCAUGAAAGAGGGCAACAACACCUUCUAAGAUACCCAUAUUCCAUAUAUGGUGACACCAUCACUCUAUCCAAGGGACUUGCUCCUGCUGAUCCUCUGUACUUGGCUGAGAGAGAUUAUCAGACUUAUUAUGUGGGUUCCAGACAUGAACAGCUAUUCAGAGUUUUCCCCUGUAGCUACAGCCUUCGAUUCCUACAAGCUAUUAUGGUGCUUCAUCUUUGGACCCAUAUCUGCCACCUCCAAGGAGAGAAGACAUGGCCUCAGGUUCCUACUCUGCUGCUGGAUUGAGAGUGACUUACAGAACUGAUCCCUUAAGAAGGGGAGAGAAUGAUGAAGCUGAUGGGUAAACUAUUGUAUGCCACAAGCGGUCUAUCAAACUACAACAGGCGAUACCCUAUGAAGUGCCCAAGCCGGAAUUGGCAGCCGCAUGUGUAUCAUUAAGGUACUCCUUUUCCCGUCCAUCUCUAUCUUACUGAUGACUGGUGUUUGAGUGUUUCAACUGUUCAUUCUCUGUACCGUUUGUUUCUCCUUUACCAAAUUUCUUUCUGUAUUUUGAGUCUAAAAGCAUAAUUGUCGACAGUUUGCCUGCUUUCAAGUAUAUUUCAAACCUUUCAAACCAUUUAGCUUUAUCCAGAAACUUAUGACUUUAUAGAAAGUAUUUGUUUCAUUGUAUCACUGAUGGUCAGGCCAUAAAAUUAGUUGAAUGAUGGUAUCAAGCGCUUUGCUAAUCCAACUUUCUACAAAUCAUAGACCUUUUCUCAUUCUGUAAUGGAGCCUUAGUUUGUUUCCAUUAUGUCAUUAUCUGUGCUUGAUCGGUCGCAUAUUCAUGUGCCAGAUAUUCACAUGGCGCGCGAGAGUUUCUAAGCCACUUUAUAGGACCUGCAAUUGUCUUAAACAAGCAUCUUCUUAAAUUAUUUUAAUUCCUAAUUUCUUAGGCUGAAGUAGUGUUCUGUGCUAUUGAGUUUUUUCAUGCCCCAUAUUCUGAAAAUUGAAAAUUAAUAUUUGUUUACUUUCCUCCUGAAGAUUGAAAAUUUAUAUAGUUAAUUUUCAAAUUGAGUAUGUUAUUUUAAACGUAGCACCCAUCUCCUUUAAGGAUAUAACCUUUUAAAAACAAUAUAAAUUUCACUCUUGUUAUUUGACGAGUACAAAGACUCAAUUUAUAUAAGCAUUUAAAACAUGAAAAAAAAAUGAUAAAACUGAUAUGAGUGAAUAAUGAUAGAUUAAGUGAUUAAUAAAGAUUGAGUCAGUCAAUCUUUAUGCUAAUUAACAAUCAGCUUUUCUUAAUCACUAAUUCAGACGAAAACAAUGAAUUAUUAAUUGAUUGUGUUGAAUAUUCUAUCAAUAUUACUUCAUUCUUAUCAAUAGGGAAUAAGGUUACCAUGCAAUAUGUAAGUAUUGAGUUUCAGGGGCUUUAUUUAUAUUAUUGACAAGUUAGGGCUCAUUCAUCCAAUCACUUACCCUCUUUUUGAGAUUAUUAGAGGAUAAGAAUAGAGGACUUUAGCUUAUUGUGAUUUUGUUUACUCAUUAACCUUGCUAGCAUGCUAGUAAAGCAACACUUUGCAACUGCUCCAUGGCGUUUUGAAUUUGUUAAUUUGGAUGUCCCAUGACCUUGAAAUUUAGGAUAUGUUUGCUAUCAUUUUUUAUUGAAUAUUUUUUAUUUUAUAAAAAUAAUUAAAUAGAAAAUGCGUUUGGUAGGAGUGUUUCAUAGCGAUAAUAAGACAUUGUCGAGAAUAGAAUAUUUCAAUUCUUUAACUUUUCUUAACAAAUGUAGAAAACACAUUAUUAGCGUUAUCUGAAUUUUGUUUUCUAUCUUGUAUACAUUACAUGUAUGCCCGUAUGGGGACCAUACUUUUGUGAGUUCUGUAAUCUUUUUCUGUGAAAAAAAAAUUGUGGGCUCAAAAAUAUUAAAUACAAACAUGAGACUUGCCAUGAUAAAUACAUGGUAGAUUUUAUUAUGUUUAUGCAAUAAAUAAAAUAAUAAUUAAUUUUUGUUGAAAUAAUCAUGGAUAUUCUAUAAAUUAUUGUAGAAUAUUUUAUUUAACAAAACUUUGAAAUAAUAUAAAAAAUAAAACUACUCAUAAUUUGAUAUCAAUAUUAAUUCUGACAUUAUUUUACUUGUUUAUUCAAUUUUUGCAAAAAUAUAUAAAAUAACAAAAAGAUAAAUCUAAAAUGUUAUACAUAUAGUUUAACUAUUCUAAAAUAAUUUUUAUAAAAAUUAUAUCAAAACACAUUUUCACUACUUAUAUUUUCUAGAUAAACUACCAAACAUAUUUUCAUUUUCACUAAAAAUUAAUCCUUCUUAUUUUCUAAACGAAAUUCAAAAACAAUAAAACAAUACAAAAUGCACCUUUAUUUUUUAGAUUAUUUUAUGUUUCUUUUAUUAAAUUAAUGAAAAAUGUUGUGAAUGGGAGUGAGCAAUUUACUUUAAAGCUUCUAUUUUUGUUUUGUUGGGAGGGGGGGGGAGUCCAUUGCUGUUUCCUCUUGUCUUUCGGCUUUUCAGCUUGAGUUUUCUCCACAUGCUUUACCUUUUGAAAGGCUUCCGUUACUGCUUGGGCUUUUGCAGUUGAAAUACUUGGGUUAACUUUCUCCCCUUCAAAUAAGAUACGGGUAUUUAAAUUAUGUAGAAUGUGAUUCGUUCAAUUAACACAUCAGAACUAGAUCCUCCCAGGACCCUUUACCCAGAUCAACCAAGUUGCAUUCGACAGAUUAGACUGAUUUUAGAGAAUCAACUAAACCUGACUUGACUCAAUGCAAAGGAUUGUUAGCCAAAUUAGAAAACUGAGAACAAACAAUAGAACACAGAGCUCUUAACGUGGUUCAGCCAUUAAUGGCUUACAUGCACGGGUGUAUUCAUCAGCAGGCUUUAUUGAAAGAUUCAAGAAGCUUGUUACAGAGAGUUCGAGAACAAAGAACAAGUAUUCACUUUCUCUCUACAAUUUCCCUCAAAUCUCUCUCUUACGUUGUUGUUGCUUCUGUGAAAGCCAGCAGCUUAUAAACCAGUUUCUCAACGACUUUAACAACCCAAAAUGCACAACUUCAUGCCACGUAUGCAAGGAUUCUGUUAUAACGAACAUGGCUUCAUUGAUGCUCACGUGAUUGCUCGCGUGAUCUAUUAAAGCCAAGAAACUCCAAAACGCUUACACAAAAUGUCGUGAGUAUUAAGCCUUUUAUCAACUGAGAAAAACGCUGCCGUUUGGAGCAGGUGUUUGUAUUCAUCUUACAAUUAAUAAAUUAAGUACUAGAAAUAUUUUUUAAAAAUGGGUGUGAAAAAUAUUUUGAUCAUUUGUUGGAUUCAAAUAUCUUCAUUUUUUGGGAAAUUAUUAAAUUGUCUUGUCUUAAUUAUGUAUGCACGGAGAACAUGUUUCCUAAGUUCAUGUGUACUUUUGCUCAACAAUAAAAAUAAGCGAAGAGAGAAAGAUGGGCCACUUUGUCAUCUUCGUUAUCUACCUCUACUUUCUUUUUUCACUAACGUAUGCAUCGGUUAUUUAGAAAUCUUCAUCUGUGCACUUUCCCGACAUUCCUGCUACUUACGGUAAAAUUUUGGUUUUAGCUCCUCCAUAAUUUAUUUGUUUCUUUGGAAAAAUGUAAUAUAUAUUGUAGAAUUUUUUUUUGUUCCUUACUUUUCUUUUCCUUUAGAUGUUAAUAAAAAGGACAUAUGUAAAGCUCUCCAUGUAGCGAAUCCUGCAAACGGUUGUUCCAUAUAACAACCAGGGUUGUUGCUUCUAAUGGAAUAAUCAACUUUGUUUUAAUAAUUCGUGGCGUAUGUGAUUACAACACUAAAAUCCGGAAUGCUCAACCCGUAAGUUAUCAAGCUGCAAUUGUGUACGAUGAUGGAGUAAAUGGCCAAAUGAAUUCACGUAUAUAAUAUAAAAAUCCUUUAAAAUUAUUUAAAAAUUUUAAAUUAUUAAUUUCUUUGUGUAAAUCUUAAUUUUUUUUAUGUAUAAUUAGCGUACAUAAAUCUAGAGUGCGUAAACAGACAAGCUGCGUAUGUUUUGUUCGGUGCCGGUCAAUAUCUAAAAGAGCUUGCGCAAGGGGAAGCUGGGGAAUAUUGUUUAUUUCCUCCAUCAAAAUCUUCUAUACCUUAGUAUUGGCUACUAGUGGUGGUGCUGCUACCUUUAGUGUGGGUAGCAUCAUCCACUAUUUGUGCAUGUAUGGAGGGUCAUAUUCUCGGAACCAAUCCAUCCAGUUCUGCGAUGAUGCAAGAGCAGAGUCAACAGCAACAAAGAAGAAGUCUAGUGAACGCAUGGCCUAGCUUUGUGUUCACUUAUGAAUCUCCGAAUCAAUAUAUUGGAGGCUCGAUGUGUGCCAUUUGCUUUUGAAGAUUAUUAGGAGAGAGAAAAAUCUCAAAGUACUUCCCUGCACACACGGUAAAAUCUCAAAGACUCGAGAGCAUGACGAUGUAAAAUUUUUUACCGUGUGUGCAGGGAAGUACUUUGAGAUUUUCCCCCUCCUGAUAAUCUUUAAGAGCAAAUGGUACACAUCGAGUCCCCACAUAUUGGUUCGAAGUUUCAGAAGUGAACACAAAGCUAGGCCAUGCAUUCACUAGACAUCAUCUCAGGACUGGGUGAAUUGGUUCCAAGAAUAUGACCUUCUAUACAUGCACAAAUAGUGGAUGAUGCUACUCACACUAUAGGUGACAGCACCACCACUAGUAGCCAAUAGUAAUGUAUAGAAGAUUUUGAUGGAGGAAAUAAACAACAUUCACCAGCGUCCCCCCGCGCAUGUUCUUUUAGAUAUUGACCGGCACCGAACAAAACAUACGCGGCUUGUAUGUUUACGCCCUCUAGAUUUAUGUACACUAAUUAUACACAAAAAAAAAUUAGGAUUUACAUAAAGAAAUUAAUAAUCUAAAAUUUUUAAAUAAUUUUGAAGUAUUUUUUUUAUUAUAUACGUGAAUUCAUUUGGCCGUUUACUCCAUCAUUGUACACAAUUGCAGCUUGAUAACUUACGGGUUGAGCAUUCCUGAUUUUAGUGUCGUAAUCACACACUCCACGAAUUAUUAAAACAAAGUCGAUUGUUCCAUUAGAAGCAACAACAGGGUUGCUAUAUGGAACAACCGUUUGCAGGAUCCACUACAUGGAGAGCUCUACAUAUGCCAUUUUUAUUAACAUCUAAAGGAAAAGAAAAGUAAAGAAUAAAAAAAAAAUUCUACAAUAUAUAUUGCAUUUAUCCAAAGAAACAAACAAAUUAUGGAGGAGCUAAAACUGAAAUUUUACCGUAAGUAGCAGGAAUGUCAGGAAAGUGCACAAAUGAAGGUUUCCAAAUAAUCGAUGUAUACGUUAGUGAAAAAAGAAAGUGGAGGUAGAUAACGAAGAUGACAAAGUGGCCCAUCUUUCUCUCUUCGUUUAUUCCUAUUGUUGAGCAAAAGUACACAUGAACUUAGGAAAGAGGCUCUCCGUGCAUACAUAUUUAGGACAAGACAAUUCAAUAAUUUCCCAAAAAGUGAAGAUAUUUGAAUCCAAUAAAUGAUUAAAAUAUUUUUCACACUCAUUUUUUAAAAAAUAUUUCUAAUACUUAAUUUGUUGGUUGUAAGGUGAAUACAAACACCCACUUCUCAGUUGAUAAAAGGCUUAAUAAACUCACGUGAUAAGCACGACAAUCAUUAAGUUGAAACGACAUUGUGCUUAAGCGUUUUGGAGAAAUAUACUAAGUAGCCAUACCUUAUGAGUAGAGAUCACAAAAAAGUUUUGAUGUUUUUCCGUUGUAAUUGUCAAAAGGAAAAGAUGGAUACAUAUGAGGAUAUCCUUGUUCUAGAAAUCAAGGGUAUAAGCAUCUGCAAGUUGGUAUUGCAUGGUCCUUAUUUUUCAAGAAUGAAUGUACAUCGAAAAUUCAUCAAAAACCAUGGUCUGUAUUGUUGGCAUUCUUAGAUUAGGAUACUUAAUUUUUAGGUGUUUGUAUAACCAAAUUUGAAAAGAGAUUUUAUGGAAAGUUGUUCACUAUGCAUCAUCUUGCAAUGAUGAUGUACAUGCCAAAAUUUGGCAUAUUAGACUUAGACAUAUAGCUAAGUUGGCUAGAGAGAGCACAUUGGGCUCACUCAUCGUAAUGAUAAAGUGUAUGUGUGAAAUUCGUUUAAUAUAGAAAAACAACUUGGAAAACCACAAGGCAAAGGAACAAAAGCCAAAUGCUCAUUGCGAGUAGUCCAUUUUGACAUUGUGGUAAAAUGAAUGUAAAGGCUAGAAAUGAAGCCCAUAGUGAUUACAUUUAUAUAUCUAUCUAUUUUGGUCGAAUAUCUUUGAUCUCCUAUAAAUAAGUUGUACCAGGAUACUUCAAAUUACUUUUGGAUAUGGUAGAGAUCGAAUUAAAAUAAACCAAAAUAUAUAUAUCUUUCUAAGCAAUUUUGGGAACUGUAUACAAGAAAGAUAAAGAUAGAUAAUUGGUUAUUUUUAAAAUACCGCACUACUUGGAGUAGUGCAAAUUAAGGAGUAGAGCAUUAUGAGAAUUGAUAAAGUAAUAGUAGCUCAUGAGCUUCUCCAGUAUGUUGUUUGGCGAAAAUCUAUUUGAUUGCAACUUAAAUACUUAAUUAAUUUCUCAUAGGAUGAGUCAUUUACGCACCAUUCUGGUAAAGUACCUAACAUAACAUGUUUGCAACCUGGGAUUUGCAUUAAGAUAUAUUGAACAAAGAAAUAGGGCCUGUGUUGAAUAGUGAAUGAAUGGUUGAAAAAGUGACUGGAUAAAAAACCACAAAUGUCAAAAUUUCAAAUUCCUAAGCAUUAUAGAAUUUCUUAAGAACUCGCUGCAAAGUGUUUGGGUUUGCAAAGUUUUCUUUCAUGGUCAUCAUUUCCGCAUUUGUUCACGGAAUUAAGAAGUUCCUAUGCAAAGUGUUUGGGUUUGCAUAGUUUUCUUUCAUGGUCAUAAUUUCCGCAUUUGUUCACAGAAUUAAGAAGUUCCUGUGCAAAGUGUUUGCGCUUGCUGGCUAAUGGGAUUUUGUUUUCCUCUAAUACUCUUUUCCUGCCAAUCAUUGCUUUGGAAGUUGCUUGAAGCGUGAAAAAGAAGAAGCCCUACAACGACGUCCUUGAAGAGAGCCGGGCUAAGUUCUUGUUCGUGAAGCGGUUUUGGGUUGAUGAUAACGACCCGACGUGGGCAAUUGAUACCCAAUCGGCGUCGGCGAUUGAUAACCAUAUAAUCCUCUGAUCAUAAGUUGUUGCUGCCGCCCUUAAUCCUAUUGAGGGGAAGAGAACCACGACAAAUCACUAAUUAUAAGGUGACUAAUGAAUAAUGAUAAGCGCGUAGAAAAUAACAUAUAUAAAUAAUGUGAAAAGGAAUACAGAUAUUAAAAAAAAUCGAAUUAAAAUUUCAUUAAAAAUUUUAUUGCAUCCCAUUAUAUGAGAAGCAAAGAAAUUUAUUUGUCCUACCUCUAAGCAAAUCCUAAGAAGAAUAAUAGCGUGAAACAUAACCAAGCUCUGGAGUUUGAUUAUGCUGGCAGUUUCCUUAGCUCUGCUUAUUUCUGUUACAUUUUUACUUUCAUAAAGAUAUGAUAUGGUAGACAUAUAGCUAGAUAUUAUCAGUACUACUUAAUUUUAUUUUAAAUUUUUAAAGAGUGCAUGUGAUGGUUUUGAAUUAGCAUAAGCACACGGUUGUCCUUGAUUGUAACGCUUGAAACAUUUGUGCAAUGGAAAUAAUCUUGAGAAAUUAGUAGUUGUAAAAAAAAUAAAAAUAAAAUAAAAUAAUUGCAUAAUAGAAAGUAUGAACUAGUGAACCUUCCUUAUAUCGCUGCUUUUGUGGCCCAUACCUUUUCUCCCUGUUGAUGCAAUUUUGACCCUUGCUGAUGUCACUUAGCUUGGUCAUUAUUACGUUGCUCUUGCUGAUGUUGCAAACUUGCAGUGCUGUCUUUACUAUUACAGUUUUUUUUUUUUUUUUUGACCACGAGAUAUCUUGGGGAGGGCCCCAAUUAUGGGAGGUACCUUUAAGCUUGUACCACAACCUAGACUAGAAGUCUCCGCUCGAACCGAGAGGCACAUGUUCUCUUAACAAAAGCGACUUCCCUACUACUCGAACUGGGGAGCAAACUCAGUCAAGCCACUUAAGGAGACUCCAUUGCCAGUGGAGCCAACACUUUAUUGGUACUAUUACUGCUUCUUUUAUUCUCCUUAAUUGUGGUUACCAAUACCAUACCGGGACUUUAAGGCAUGCAUGGUAGAGGGGCUCAAUAUUAAGCGCCCCUCAUUGUUUGGCUGCCAGCAGCUAAACCAACCGUUUUAACUUAAAGAGUAAUCGGUUGCUCCAUUUAUUGACAACUUAAUUUAAAAUUAUAAUUAAAAUAAAAUAUUUAUGAAUUAUAUAAUUUUUAAAAAAUAAAAAAGGAUGAUUAUAGAAAAAAUGAAACCAAUAUUUUAUAUAGUCAGUAUUAUUAAAAAUAAAAUAAAAUUUAUAUCUGCAAAAAGAUAGAAGUGCAAUUCAUGUCUUAUAAUUUGUCUCGUGUUUAACAUCUAAAAGGUUCAUGUAUUUUAUUUCAUGUUUUAUAUCAUAAAUUCUAAAUACACACAAAAUUUUCUUUUCCCUCUCAUUUCAUUUUGCCAUUCAAGUUUCAGGUCAAACUUUUCGAAUUUCAUGACUAGCGUUUUGUUUUUCAUGUUUUAUGUUUCAUAUUUAUCUUAAGUAAAAUGUUUCAUAUUUAUAAUUUUAUGUUUGACGUAGGAUAUUCCAAAUAUCCUAAAACUUUUUCUUUUUUACUUCCAUUUCAUGUUGGCAUUCAAGUUUCACAUGGUAAACUAUUAAUCUCAUCUCAUAAGGUUUUAUGUCGAUUAAUUGUAUCAUGUUCUCAUUAUUAGUUUUACACAAUAUAAAUAAUUUGCUUCAAGAUUUUAGGUAAGUAUUAAUUUCAUAUUGGAUGGUGGUGGUUUCAAGUAUGGAUCCAGCUACAUUGCAUCAUGGGUUUGGUACCCCACUCAUUUGUCUGUUAGCGAAUGACCCUUUAGAUUGUAAAGAAAGAUAGUUAAUGGCUGAGAUUUAAUAGGUGGAAAAUGGGUAACCGGCUGAAGUUGUAGCACCAGUAAAACAAAAAAAUAAAGGGUAAGUAUCAUCUUUCUCCCCAUAAGUGAAUUGUACAGGCGACUGUUGUGGAUAUUAUUGUCUUCAUACUGGUUUCAGAAAGGUGUAUUGAGGUAUUGAAUCUUAUUAAGUUGGGUGUUGAUACGCAAAACAAGGGAUUCACUUAUUGGGUCAGCGGGGAAAAAGAAGAUUAGGGUUUUUAUUGGGAAAAUUGGGGAUUUUCUAUCCGAUUAACGCCCUGCAUCUCUACACCGCCACUGUCUUCCGACACUAACUCCAGCAACGCACAAUCUGCCUCCACGAGAUCUGCCUCCACACUGCCACUGUCGCACGACACCGCGACACCACCAGCUCCAUUGUCUUUGCGAUCUACCUUCACGACGCAUGACACCACUACCCGACACGCCUUUGCGACGUUGUGAGUGGCUUUAAAAGAAGGAAAAAAAAUAAAGAAACGAGAGUGAGAGCAGAGCAUAAUAGAAUUGUCAAGCUCUUUGUUAGAAUCAUCACAAAAUUUAUAUUGGAUCGGGGCUAUUCAAUGUGAUGCAUUUGGAUUUGCUAUCUGCUAGACAGGCAACAACAUGUAAAAGCAUUUUGUCCCCAUUUUAGAUUUACUAUCUAGUAUCUUAUAGGCUUAAUCUAAAUAGAAACCAUGCAGGAUACCAGACACAAUUCUAAUGUUAUUUUACAACUUUUUUUAGCCAUAUUUCAAGACCCCAAGUUUAUGUCAUGAUAAUUGUGUGAUUGAUAAGAUAUUUUGUGUUUUGGACUUUAUCUCAUGGAUUUAGAGUUCGAUUAUGUUUGUAAUUGGAAUAAUGUGUUCAUUUACAUAUGAUGUUUGAUGAAAUUGCCAUAAGAUUAAUUCAAUUAUAUAUGUUUUUUAUGCUGAAUUAAUAUUAAUACAAUUAUGUAUGUCUAUGGUGCUGAAAAAGUAGAGCAGAAAUUUUAUCAAUGGGUUGGUUUCACUAGUUCAAGAAAGUAAAGCAAAGAAAUUGUCUUUAUACACUUAACCCUUCCUCUAUUUAAAAUAUAAAAAAAUUAUUGAAAUUUUUGGAAGUGAUUUGUUCAUUUUGUUUGUGCACUUAUGUAGAUGGAUUUACUUUUGGUUGCUUAACCCUUCCUCACUUAUGUCUUUUUAGUUCAAGUUGCAGUAUUUUGCUGCUGUGCAACAACAGAAGAGGCUGUUUUUAUUGCUGUUUAUGCAGAAACACAGCACCUGGAAGCAUCCAGGUGCUGUUUAGCUGCUGUUUAUGCAGAAACACAGCACGUGGAAGCAUCCAGGUGUUGUUUAGCUGCUGUUAUGCAGCAAAAGCAGCACUUGAAAGUUUCCAGGUGCUAUUUUUACUGCUGUUCACACAGAAACGCAGCACCUAGAAGCGUUCAGGUGCUGUUUAGCUACUGUUAUGCUGCAAAAACAGCACCUGAAAACUUCCAAGUGCUGUUUUUACUGUUGUUUAUGCAGAAACAAAGCACCUGGAAGCAUCCAAGGGGUGCUUUACUGCUGUUUUGUAAUUAAAAUUGCACUUAGAAAUUUUGGGUUCUAUUUCGCUGAAAUUUUGCUACUAACAGUGCAGCUGAAUAAUUUCGGGUGUUGUUUAGUUGUUGUUUUGGACCUUCUUUAGUUCUUUUCUCUUAUGUCUAUACUUAAUCUCCCCCCCUCCCCCUCCCCGGGUAAUAAGCAAGUACAACUUUUGCAAGGUAAUAUCCAAGCAUGCUAUUAAUUCUUUGGUUAAUCAUAGUAUUCUAAACAUUAGGUCUCAUUUUUUUUUUUCCAAGUGUAUAAUGGAUAUGUACUGGAUGUCUUAUGGAUGAUGUAGUUAAUGCUUUUUUAUUGUCUCUAUUUUGGCAAAUAUUUUUGUCAUUUAUUAUCUAAACACAUGGUUGAUAAACUUACUUAGGUAAGUCUAUUAAUUAAUAGCAAUUUGGUACUUUAAAGUCUUGUUUUACAACUUAAGUCACUAAAAUGAUUUAAUAUUUAUGAUUUAUAAUAUAUGAAUAUAUCUUAAUUUCUCUUUAUUCUUUGUAAGAAUGACAUAGAUUGCUGACACUGGUGAGACUUGUUUGCAAUUGAAGACUUGACGAGAAAUUAGAUGUACUCACGCAUGCCAAUCUUGUUGGUUGCUAGUGCAGUCAUUAGUAGAUAUUAAGUAGUUGUGAGAAUUUUUGUAGAGCUAUCUCUUUGUAUAUGAAACAUUUGCAUCUUUUUUGUUUGUGGAAAAAUAAUUGUAAAGAAUUUAAUAUGAAAUUAGAAUUAAAAUGAGGCUUGAAAUAGUCUUAAAUUUUCCAUAUUUAUUUUUUAAUAAUAAAUAACAAAGAUGACGGUUAUUUGAAAAGAACCGUCAUCAAAUGUAGUGUUUAGAAACAAAGAUGACGGCUUUUUUUUUCGAAACCGUCAUAAAAUGUUGUUCAAUAUUUAAUAACGGUUCUUAUAAUAUAUAUACAUAUAUAAUGACGGUUCUUACAAUAAACCGUCAUUAAAAUGACACAUUUAAUAACUGUUAUAUAAAAAACAGUCAUCAAAACAUAUAUAAUUACUAUAAAUAAUGACUAUUUUAGAAAAUAACCAUCAUUAAAAAUAUAUAUUUAAUGACGAUUAGUGAACCGUCAUAAAAAACAUACCCUCUUUAAUGUUGGUGCCUAAGAUGAUGGUUUUAAAACCGUCAUAAAAGACUAAUUCUGUAGUAGUGAAGCAAGGAAAACACAAGGAAUAACAAUAUUGUUAUUCCUCAAUCACUGGGGCGCCAACAACACCAGGUACACCUAAAACAAGAAUAGAUUUAGCGGCUUAAAAGGUAGAACGUUCAACACCUUCAUAGUCAUUUCCAAUGGCAAGGGAAAGGCUUGCAACAUUAUCAAAACUUAAAUUUCUUGGAUACAUUCUUUUUAGCGAAAUAACAUAUGAAAGCAAAACUAUAUCUAAUUUUUUCUAUUCACCUAAGAAUGAAUUAUAUCUACAAAAAAGUCAUAAUAACACAUCUUUAAAAAUAUUUCACAAUAUGAUUACAGAAGUGUUUGUUAUGCCCCUGAAGGAUCCGCCUUGCACGCAAUCGUGAUUUCACGCACCUCUUUUUUUUUUUUUUUUUCAUAUCCAAUCAUUAGAUUCAACGCAGGAGUUCUAAAAGGUUUUAUAGCCGCACGAAGAUAAUCACUACUAACGUUGUAGCCCUUCCUAUUUUAUGAAAUUAUAAGGAAACGUUAGGUUUUAAAAUUUUAACACAUAAGCCCUAUCUAUUAUUUUAUGGGUCAACACUAUUUUAUGAAAUGAACAUAUUUAAAUAUUAAUACUAUAGAUGGAUUACUUUAACUUGCUAAAAUACUCUACACACCCAUUUACUUCAAAUACGAAAUUGGAUUACAAUAUUCUUAUCUUUUGUUUACUUUAACACAGGAUUGGACAAGGUCUUACAUACGUUUUGGCAAUUUAAAGUGAAUAUAUAUUAAAUAAAUGCUUUGAUAGCAAUUUACGUGUCGCUAUACAAUCCAUGUUUAGUACAUUCAAAAUAAAUAAUUUCUAUAUGUAAAUUUGAAUUUAUUUCAAAUUACUUAUACCUAGUGUCAUAUAUGAGUCCAACAUUUUUUUUGCAAAAUUAUUAUCCCAAUUAUUCAUUUAAUGUGAAAACAAAUAAAUUGUGUAAUAUUUAUGCUAUUAUUUAAUUUUAAGCUUGUCAACAAUGAACAAUACUGUAAAUUAAUAGAUUAUGGGAGAAUGUCCUAUCAAAAAAUUAUUUUCUCAAAUAUCUUACUUUUACGGCUUCUAACAUAACCCUAUCUUCUGUUGUUAAAAUAAAAUUACAUUCGGCCAUAUUGCUUUUACUUCUCUCUAACAUUUUCACAAGUAUCCUUACUUCGCUAGUUUGAGAAAUGUUCUAAGCUUAUUUAGCGACUUGCGUGCUAGAAGUCAUCUAAGUGUCGCACGGGUUUGCUGCGCAAAACACUCAUCCCGUGACAGACUGCUAAUGAAAAUAGAUAGGAUAGGGUGUUUGGUUCAACAAGCCCAAGAUAGUUUUCUCUUUAUUUUUUUCCUCUUUUAACUUAUCCUUCACCUCAAUUUAGAUUGUCAUUCUUGGUUGAUCAUAAUUUAUUAUUUUUAUUAUUAUUAUUAUUAUUAUUAUUAUUAUUAGAUCUUACAUGCAUGUAAGAUACAUUCCUCUCACAUGAAUAGUGUGUGGGUCCCACACAUGCACUAUUCAUGUGAGGGGGAUGUAUCUUACAUGCAUGUAAGAUAGGGUUUGCCUAUUAUUAUUACUACUACUACUACUACAUGGUAUUUAAUUGUUCUUCACAUUUUUUUAUAUGAUUUUCAUUUACUUAACUCACGCUCCUAUUUUCCACAAAAAAAGAAUUAUAGGGCAACUUAACUGUAAAUUCAAGCAAGGCUAGUUUCGGGAUUAAAAUUGAUAUUUCUCCCUUUUUUCCCACCAAGUGCGCAAUGCAUUACCUGAUGACUUAAAUCCACUUCCAAAUAUUUUCAUCACUAUUUUCGAAAAUUUCAAAUGAAACCCCAACCCGUACUUGCACGCUUCCCGUUCCCUGUUUGCAACCAUUACUUGCAUGCACCCGUUCCCUGUUUGCUUACAUGCGUUACUUAUUAAAUAACUUCCAACCCAUUACAUGCGUUAUUUUGUCAAAAAGUUGAUUCCCUGCAGCUUACCGGCCCAUUACCUUUUUGUCAGGUUAUUCCCUAAUGUCUCUGUGUCUCUUCUGCAGCCGUGAGAUGAAAUCCAACGGUGACUGUGCUACAAGACAAACGACUGGGGUAACAAAACCCAUGACGCAAUGUAGCUGCCCCCUUCAAGUAUAAUUAUUAAAUUUAAAAUUUUUUGCUUAAGGUUUUACGAUAUAAAUUUUGGGUAAAAAUUAUAUGUUUAAUGGCGGUAGUUUCAUAUUUACUGCUAUUAAUUUCCGCACUAUUACUCACAAAUUAUACAAGUGACAUGAUAACUGAAUUUCUAGUCUUCUCAAAUUAGUUGAUUUAAUUAUAAAUUUAAUCUUAUCCGUUAGGUUUCUUAUUACUGAAUCCAACGGUAAGCAUCUACCUCUACAUCACAUACAUACCUGCACGGUAGCCAUGCCCUAUAAGUCAGCGGUGAGCUCCCAUUUCUACUUUCUCCUAAAUAAAUUUGAACUACAAUGUGAGAGAGCAUGUAAUAAAGAUGAACACACUUAAGUAAAUAAUUUAUAUGCCAAGAUAGAAGUGAUAGUUCUCCAGAGAGUUAAUUUGUUGGUAGACCCUCUGGGGGGACAGUUUAGGGCUUCCAUUCAGUGGAAUUACGUACCUUGCUUUUCAUAUUUUGUCCUUCUUUUGAUUUUGUAUUGCCAACCCGUUGCUUUUUUUAAUUUGUUAUUCGGGUCCUUCUAUAAUACCAUAAUUAAAAUUACGGUUUCAAUAUCGUAAUAGACGUAAACCGUUAGAUUGAAUGAAAAAUCUCUACCAUUAAUUAUAAAUAAAUAGGUAAGUAAUCAGUAAUUAUACUUUUUUGUUCAAGUUAGAGGUUACAUUUAUUAGUCUUAUGUGUGAUUCACAAAUUUAAUGUGUUAUUUGACAUUUAAUGUCAAUUUAUAAGUUUUAUGUCAUUUUUCUAAGUUUUUAUUUUGUUUAUAAUUUCUUGUUUCAAUUUACUGCUCCAACAUUAAUUUACCCAUUUUUUUCAAUUUAUUAGUCCUAUACGUAGUUUCCAUUUUUUUUUCAUUUCACACUUAAUGUCAAUUGUCAAGUUUUAUGUCAUUUUUCUAAGUUUUUUUUUUACAAUUCCAAAGACCAAUUUUACUACUUCAACACCAAUCUACUCAUUUUUCAUUUAAUUUACUACUCCUAUGUGUGGUUUAUAAUUUUUUUUUUAUUUUAUUUCAUACUUAAUAUCAUUUUAUAAGUUUUAUAUUAUUUUUUAUUUUUUGUCUUUUUUAUAAUUUAUUUUCUAAUUUACCACUCCAACAUUAUUUUACCACUUUUUGCUUCAAUUGACUAGUUUUAUGUGCGUUUACAAAUUUCUUGUUUCAUUUCAAACUUAAUGUUAAUUUACAAGUUUUAUGUCAUUUUUCUAAAUUUUUAUUUUGUUUAUAAUUUCUUUUUUCAAUUUACUGCUCCAACAUUAAUUUACUCAUUUUUCCUUCAAUUUACUAGUCCUAUAUGUAGUUUACAAAUUUUGUUAUUUCAUUUCACACUUAAUGUCAAUUUUCAAGUUUUAUAUAAUUUUUCUAAGUUUUUGUUUUUGUUUUUUUUUUUACAAAUCGAAAGACUAAUUUACUACUCCAACAUUAAUCUACCUAUUUUUCAUUUAGUUUACUAAUCCUAUGUAUGAUUUAUAAUUUUUUUAUUUAAUUUCACACUUAAUAUCAAUUUACAAGUUUUAUAUUAUUUUUUUAAUUUUUUGUCUUUUUUAUAAUUUCUUGUUCUAAUUUACCACUCCAACAUCAAUUUACCACUUUUUGCUUCAAUUUACUAGUCCUCUUUUUGCUUCAAUUUACUAGUCCUAUGCGUGAUUUAUAAUUUUUUUUGUUUCAUUUCACACUUAAUAUCAAUUUUUAAGUUUUAUGUCAUUUUCUGAGCUCUUAUUUUAUUUACAAUUUCUUAUUCCAAUUUACAACUCCAAUAUUAAUUAUUUACCUUUUUUUUUCCAUCAAUUUACUAGUCUUAUACCCGGUUUACAAACUUUUUGUUUCAUUUCAAACUUAAUGUCAAUUUAUAAGUUUUAUGUUAUUUUUCUAAGUUUUUGUUUUGUUUACAAUUUCUUGUUCCUAUUUAUUACUUCAACAUUAAUUUGCCCAUUUUCCUUCAAUUUAUUAGUCCUAUGUGUGGUGCAUAUAUAUUUUUAUUUUAUUUCACACCUAAUGUCGACUCACAAGUUUUAGGUCAUUUUUCUAACUUUUUUUUUUUACAAUUCCAACAAAUACUUACCAACAAUCAAACACAUAAUAUUUACUAUCAGAAGACUUACAAUGAAAGGCUGAUUUUUCCUUAAAAUUUCAUUUUGUUGGUUCACAUCAUCAUUCUCCUUGAAGUUAGUCUCGUUACCCUUUAUCCACAAUUUUAGCCAUUUUCAAGUUGACCAAAGAACCUGUACAUGAAGAGAUUAGACACAAACAAGGAAAAAAAGGGUUUACAUGAAACUACCAUCAUCAACUUUAUUCAAGACAUUUACCUAUUUUCAAGUUUCAACAAACAAGCUUCUGCAGUCGUUUCUAAAAAAAAAUAGAAAAAAAUUUGAACCAAGCUAAAGAUGACUAUAUUUAAAACAAGCUUCUGCAGUCAUUUUAAAAUGCGGACUUGCAUCUAAACAUGACUCAUAUAUAAUAAGCUAAGUAAAAAACUAUAUUGAAAAAUAUCGAUUCCAUUCAAAACUUUUCCCAACUAUAAGCAUUUCUUUUCCUUAGGGUUAAUUUAAUGGUAACAAAAGACAACUUAAAAUAACCAAAAACAUUCCACAAGAAAUGUCCAAAGCUCACAAUUCUGGAUCCUGUAAAAAUAUUUUGCAAAUAAACAUUUCAAUCCAAAAUUCAAUCCCCCCAAAAGCAAGAAUUAGGAACACCUUUUCUGAAAAAUCAAGCUAGCAUUUGCUUCCAGAAUAACCUGUUUGGGAAGGAAAUACGAGACCAAUGAUGAAGCGCCACGUGUCGAUAUGUAAGAGAUUAAUUUGUCUCGGGGUACCUUGGGUACCUCGGGUAUCUCGGGUACUCUAGGUACCUCGGCUAACCUAAGGACUCCGGGGGUACCUCGGGUACACCAUGAAAGGAAAUAAAAAUCUUCGUAAAUAUGUGAAGGGAUAUGUGGGCCCCGAAUCUCAAUUUUAUUUCACACCUAAUGUCGACUCACAAGUUUUAGGUCAUUUUUCUAACUUUUUUUUUUUCAAUUCCAACAAAUACUUACCAACAAUCAAACACAUAAUAUUUACUAUCAGAAGACUUACAAUGAAAGGCUGAUUUUUCCUUAAAAUUUCAUUUUGUUGGUUCACAUCAUCAUUCUCCUUGAAGUUAGUCUCGUUACCCUUAUCCACAAUUUUAGCCAUUUUCAAGUUGACCACAAGAACCUGUACAUGAAGAGAUUAGACACAACAAGGAAAAAAAAGGUUUACAUGAAACUACCAUCAUCAACUUUAUUCAAGACAUUUACCUAUUUUCAAGUUUCAACAAACAAGCUUCUGCAGUCGUUUCUAAAAAAAAAUAGAAAAAAAAUUUGAACCAAGCUAAAGAUGACUAUAUUUAAAACAAGCUUCUGCAGUCAUUUAAAAUGCGGACUUGCAUCUAAACAUGACUCAUAUAUAAUAAGCUAAGUAAAAAACUAUAUUGAAAAAUAUCGAUCCAUCAAAACUUUUCCCAACUAUAAGCAUUUCUUUCCCUUAGGGUUAAUUUAAUGGUAACAAAAGACACUUAAAAUAACCAAAACAUUCCACAAGAAAUGUCCAAAGCUCACAAUUCUGGAUCCUGUAAAAAUAUUUUGCAAAUAAACAUUUCAAUCCAAAAUUCAAUCCCCCCAAGCAAGAAUUAGGAACACCUUUUCUGAAAAAUCAAGCUAGCAUUUGCUUCCAGAAUAACCUGUUUGGGAAGGAAAUACGAGACCAAUGAUGAAGCGCCACGUGUCGAUAUGUAAGAGAUUAAUUUGUCUCGGGUACCUCGGGUAUCUCGGGUACUGUAGGUACCUCGGCUACCCUAAGGACUCCGGGGGUACCUCGGGUACACCAUGAAAGAUAUAAAAAUCUUCGUAAAUAUGUGAAGGGAUAUGUGGGCCCCGAAUCUCAAAAAGAUCCAUUUGAUACGUGUCGAAAAAUAAGGAAAUCUUGCCGCAAAAGAGGAGACAGCCGCCUGUCACGCUAGCGAAUCCGCCAAAAGUGUAAUAUUGUGACAGUUGGGACCACCAGCUUUUCCUGCUACACCUGCAAAAUUACAACGGAAUUGCAGAGGUACGCGGGACCACUCCACUACGCCCAGCACGUGAAUACGCCACAAACUUGCUCUCCACUGAUAUUUUUGAAACGUCUAAGCCGCCAUACGCAUGAAAAUAAGAAUAUUCCUGACAUGACAGCAGGAACGCCACUAAAAUAGCGCCAGGUGGCACGGCGACCGGGGUACACCAUAUAAUACUCAGGUUUGAUUUUUAUCAAGUAAGUAAACACACUCACCACAAAACUAGGGUUUCUUCAACCUUAAAAUCUCCAUUACCGAGAGCUUGCAAGCUCUCUAACCUGAGAUAACCCAAUUCUGACUUGAGCGUCGGAGUGUGGUCGCCGGCCACCCCGGCUCCACCUCUGACCUUUUUUUUUGGUUGUUUCGCAGGUUUAAGGCGAGUUUCACCAGCCCUCCACACCUGAAGUCAGACCCCCUCCAUAUCCACCGUCAUCUCAAUCCUCAUUCACUCCACAAAAAGCCUAAACAGCCCGCACGUGCCGAACAAGCGAGGUACCCCCCGCUCCCCGACAAAAAUAUAAAUUUAUUGCUCUUGGGUUGGUUUUGUGGUUUUUUAUACAUUGACCCAAAAUCAGCCGCAAACAAUUGGCGCCGUCUGUGGGGACACGAGCAAAAGCUUCCACACGGUGCUAAGCUUGUCGGUACGUGUGCUUGCACAGCCAUGGCACCCGACGUACCCGCUGAUAACCAAAUGCUAGGUCAUGAUGGAACAGAGGACCACGGCGAUGAUGAGAGAGGUGACUCGACAAGGAGGGCAUCCCGCUUAGAGAAAGGCAAAUCAGUUAAGCAAUCAGCUGGUAUUCAAACCCGAUGAGGAGCCCGUUACUCAUAAACACUUUGAGGAUUUAGCUCAUGCGAUUCUCAGAGCAGUAGGAUCUCGGGUACCCGAAGCAGCCACUUCUCCGGUAACUCAAGAUGUCCCGCCUCCACGCGGUGAGAAAUAGAUCAUACCAAGAUCUGAAAUACCGGAGGGAAGUAGACCAAAGCAUGGGCCAUCGGGCACCCGUUCAAAGUUUCAAGCCGCCGGCUCCCGGGAAGAACGCUCCACUGCCUCUUGUUAUUCCCGUAGUAGCCAGGGUACCAAACGUAAACAAAAAGCCCAUGAAGAUCUCCGGUACAAGUUGAACGCCAAAAGAGCUUCCCAGACAACAGCGGCCUCCUCAGGUGCACCUGGGGUACCCCGGGAGUUCCUGGAAAAAAUGGAGUACCUCGAAGCUCAAGUGAAGCUCCUUUAUGAAAAACAAAACCCCACCAAUGCUCUAGCGACAGCAGUGCAUAACUCGCCAUUCAUCAUGGAGAUUCGGACAGCGGUUCUCCCGGACGCAUUCACCAUGCCUCAAAUACAACAAUACUCGGGUACCUCGGAUCCCGUGGAACAUGCUGAGUUAUAUCGUGACCAGAUGAUGAUUAAAGGAUGGGCGACAAUGCUAUGUGCCGGAUAUUCCGCAUACCCUCACCGGACCAGCCAAGUCAUGGUUCCGAUCGUUGAAGGCAGGUAGUGUAUCCUCCUUAGACCAGCUCCUAAAAGAUUAUGUUCAUGAGUUUGGUUAUGCAUCCGCCCAAGAUAUAACAAGAAGUCUAUGACGCCAUCGAACAAGAAGUGGACCCGAUUGCUAGCAGCGGGGUUUAUUAGGGAGGCGGUGUACCCCGAUUGGGUCUCAAAUAUUGUAUUGGUUAAGAAGUCUAACGGGAAAUGGCGCAUGUGUGUAGAUUUCACGGAUUUAAACAAGUCUUGCCCUAAGGAUAGCUUCCCGCUUCCCCGGGUAGACCAGCUGGUCGAUGCUACGGCUGGGCACGAGAUGCUUAGUUUCAUGGAUGAUUUCUCCGGGUACAACCAAAUUCCAAUGUACGAGCCUGUUCAAGAUAAAACGGCCUUCAUCACCAACCGUGGGUUAUACUGCUACAAGGUUAUGCCUUUUGGUUUGAAGAAUGCGGGCGCCACCUAAAGUCCAAAGCUGCUCGAUAUUGUCUCAUCGAGGAUACCUUAUUCAGAAGAGGGUUUACCCUCCCUUACUUAAAGUGCUUGGGAAAUGAACAUGCCGAAUAUGUCAUGAGAGAGAUACACGAAGGGAUUUGCGGUAACCACUAUGGAGCACAAUCAUUGGCACAGAAGACCCUUCGUCAAGGAUUUUAUUGGCUUACGAUGCGGGAGGAUGCCAAAAACAUGGUCAAGAGUUGUGACAAGUGCCAGAGAUUUGCCAGGGUACCCCACCUUCCACCAGAAAAGUUAACUGUCAUGUCUUCUCCGUGGCCAUUUGCUGUUUGGGGUAUAGAUCUCAUUGGCCCACUACCAACUGGUAGAGGACAAGCUAAGUAUGCAAUUGUAGCCGUUGACUAUUUCACAAAAUGGGUAGAAGCGAAGCCGUUGGCAAGCAUUACGGAGAGAAAAACCACUGAUUUUGUUUGGAGGAAUCUCAUAUGCAGAUAUGGUAUCCCUAAUGCAAUUGUCAGCGACAACGGGAAGCAAUUCGACAACGAAAAAUUUCAGAAUUUCUGCCCGGAGCGUGGGAUACCAACCAAUUUCCUUCUUCGGCUCACCCGCAAUCUAAUGGACAAGUGGAAGCCAUCAACAAAAUCAUCAAGGGUAUCCUAAAGAAGAGGCUGGAGGAAAGGAAGGGAGCUUAAGUAGACGAGUUACCCGGCGUUCUUUGGGCCUAUCGGACAACUCAAAAUAUUUCAACUGGGGAAACCCCAUUUUCUCUGGCUUUCGGGACUGAUGCAGUCAUUCCAGCUGAAAUCGGGAUACCCUCUCACAGAAUCGCAUACUUCGAUGAAGCUGAGAAUGCCUCUUUGAUUGCGUCCAAUCUUGAUUUUGUUGAAGAAAAAAGGGCCAAAACAGAAUUGAAGGUUGCAAUAUACCAGCACCGCGUUUCAGAUUUAUACGACAAGAGGGUACACCCCAGAUCAUUCAAGAAAGGGGAUUUAGUCCUACGAAGGGUAACUCAGAAUACCCAGGUACCCUCGGAGGGCUCUUUCGGAGCCAAUUGGGAAGGCCCAUAUCGCAUAGACAAGCCAGUAGAUUCGGGGGCAUACAGACUACUCCACAUGGAUGAAACAAUCGUCAAGCAUCCCUGGAAUGCCACAAUGCUGAGGAAGUACUACUAACAUGAGGACAGUGUCUUAAACCUUAUCGUUCACUUUAUCUAUUUCUUAUUUUCUUUACUAUGUGUGCAAUAUGGUAAAGCCAUGAAAGGUACUUAGGGUACCCCACAUGUGCAAGUGAAAUUUUUAAUUCCCUAAGUCCUAGAGAGUGGAUAUUUAUACGGUUUCCUAUUCUCAUUAGGACAAUGAGUCAGUCUUAUGUAAUGUUCUCCUUUUGAUUACCGAAUGUGAUUAUGGUUAAAUUUUCGCCAUUAAUGUGACUCUCUCUUAUUACGCCAUGUCUUAUUCAGCUAUAAUUGCUCCAUUUCAAGAUAAUCAGGAGAACCUGAGGUAUCUGAAUCGAUUCGAUCGUGAAGAUCUGUUCGAGGUCAACGCCAAUAAAAACUAAUAGAACAAAAUUAAAGAAGGAGGGUCAGAGAAGGCCCAAGGGCGAGGUAAACCAACAUACCCUAGCGCCAUGAGGUUCCGUUAAGGUAUGCACACGCCCACACCUCCAUUCUUUUACUUGAGCCAAGUAAAGAAUAGAUAAACGAAACGAGGUAGGCAAGCAUGCCCCUCUAUUCGCAUUAUUUUAUUAAAUAUUGACUAGAAGCAAAUGGCAAAACAAGCAUGUUUUUGACCAUUUCUGCAAGAGAGGGGCCAAGAAGGUCCCCGAAAAAAAAAAAAAAAAAAAAAAGGUACCCGGGGUACCCAAGAAACUCCACAAGUCUAUUUGAGAUGCGCCAUAAUCUUUAUUUUAUCCUAGUUGCGCCAAAUAUGAAUUUCGUUUUAUCUUAUGAUGAUGUGCGAAUUAUUAAAUUAUUUUGAGAUACACCAUAAUCUUUAUUAAGACGAGCAGUGAGCACAUCUACGGAAAUCACCACGCAAGCGCCAAAAAUACAUCAGGGGGGGUACCUGGGGCACCCGAGGAACCCCUGCAAGGCUACGCAAAUCAAUCAUAAGCAAGGAAUUCAAUGGCACUCCAAAUAAAGUAUAUUGCAGAAGUUAAUGCGAACGAGUAGGCAAGAUUGCCGAGGCAACCUUCCAAAAGACAAGUAUCCCCAACACAUCAAAAUGAUAAUACCAUACUACAAAAAGUACAGAAGCAAAGAAAGAAAGCUGCUAAGACAUCUCAAGAUAAAGUUCUGAAUAACAAGUAAGAUCAAGCAGAUGGGGGACAUCCUCUCCACCGUUCCCCUCAACGGGGUAUCAACAGGAACACUCGCAGCCAAAGAGCGGCUACCCGCAUGAACAGCGCUAACCGAAGGGAGAUCCGCCUGGGGUACCUCAGAAGAUCACUGUGGGCUGUGAGAUGGGGGAGCCUGGGUAGCCCUCUUGUCCUCUAUCGCUUUAAGGAUGGCCGACUUAUCCACCCAUUUCUCCACCCGGGAUACCACCAGCUCAGGCUCGAUGCUCCAGACCUCAGUCAUGAUAAGAGUAAAGGCCUUGUCCAUCAUCUCCGGUUGGCGAGAUAGUAGCUCGCCAUGCUUAGACUCCGCCUCUUCCAACUUCCUAGACAAUCGGCUAUUCUCCCGGGCGUGGUCGUCCAAGCGCCUUUGCAAAGCCCUGACCUCCUCUCCUAACUUCUCUUCUCGAGACUGGCCGAGCCUAACCUCACCUCGCAGCCUCUCUACCUUGGUUUGUGCAGCCGAGAUGCCACUAAGGUCUCGGAGACCGUGGCUAAGGUAGAAAGCCGCCUACACAAAUAAUAAUAAAGAAAAGGAGAGGGAGUUAGGACGAAAAAAAAAAAAGAGAAAGAGAAAGAAUGAAAGGAAAAGAGUGAGAGGCACUCACGUCAUGACAAGCUUUGAGCGCUCGGCUAUAGCGCUCAUUUAAAUCUAAUUUAUCUGCCUCUAUUGCCAUGUCUGUGGAAAUACUCUCGGAGGAAUGAAGGAAGCAAUCAGUCAAGUGCGAUAUCCGCUUGUUAGCCACCGGAUCCAGCUCGCCCUCCAUAAGGUCUCCAGGAGCCGUGAAAAGGGAGCCAAACUUCCUCUUGUGGGUAGCCAGGGUACCCCGAGAACCCCCAAGAGAGGAGACGGGCAAUUUACCUUUGCCGCCUGGAACGACGGGAGGUCGGUCACCUUUUGCGGAGGUACCCAGGGUACCGGAGGAGCUGCCGCUCAUGCGACUGAAGAAGGCGUCAAAAUCUUCGCCAAAAGGGUCCAUGCCUAUCCAAUAAAAAAAGAGAUGAGACAAAGAGACAAAUCAGGAAAAUAAACAGAGUCGUCAUUGGCAAAAAGGCACAUUGAGAAAAAAUAAGAGAUGGCCACCAAAGCAUAAAAAAAAAAAGUUUGUUCAAAUAAAGGGGGCACCCCACAGAACCAAUGAAGGCGGGGUACCCCAGCAACACCACAUAGCCAUACGUGAAUCGCCCCCCGAAGAAGACUGAAAACUCUCCUUAAUCAGACCAGCUCUCACCAACCGGGAAGUGCACAGAACAUCACCCUCACUCUGUAAAAUCUGGAACUUCUCUAUAACACUAUUAACUUUCCUCCCUACUUCAUGGAUUGGGCACGUUCCCUUGGUCCAACUGAUGUCUAUAAAAAACCCAAAAAAAAAUAAUGAAUAAGAAGAAAAUUCAUGCGAAGAGGUGUAUAUAUACAUAGAAAGGGAGAGAAGAGGAAAGAAACACAUACUAUCUUCAUUGAAGAAGUUCCGAACUGGCACAACUUUAUUUCCCGCUGGAAUGCUCUUCCCCCACUCACCCUCAGCCACAAACCACCCAUAUAUGUAGCCCUUUUUCAGCAAGGGAUCCGGUCUCACCAAAUUACCAUGAACCCCCCAAGUAGCAAAAUAGGCUACAGAUAAACCAGCGGGCUUCUUCAACUGAUAAAGCCUCCUUAGAUCUCCAUAAGAAAUAUCCUCCCCAAAAAUAUCUAGCCACAAAACCUCCAGACCCGUGAGCAAUCUCCAACCGGGUAAGGAUAACUGUCCGGGAGCAAUUUUCAUCUCAGUGAACAUUUUUCUAAAAAAUGGCUGAAGGGGUAAACAGAGACUUAAGUCAAAAAUGUCGAUAUGAAGGGCAACACCAUCAGAAUGAGGGUGGUCGGGGCGCUCGCCCUUGCGAGGUACCCUAAGGUGGACAGAUUGAGGUAUGUUGUACUUGGCUCUAACCCUUUCUAAAUCUCUCGAGUAGCCAGCCUACCCCUUAGUGCAUAGAGCUUAGGAGCUACAGAGACAGAGGGAGAGAUCAGGGGAGGUUCUGGAAUGCUGACAGGAACAGGAGAUUUGGGUCUGGAUGUCUUUGCACGAGUUUUUCUAUGGGCUGGCUUAGUUGGGUGUUUGUCUUUAAUCUUUGAUUUUUUACUGGUUUUGGUUCGAGAUAACUUGGGACUAGGCGAAGGGGACCCAUUGUCGUCACUAAGGGAUAUAUAAGGGGCUGAAUCAGAAAGGGGAGCCUCCUCACUCGUCUCCCCCUGCUCCCUGACCACAUUACGACCCUUUUUCCCCAACAGUUUUUCUCCUCAUCUUGUUCUCCUAAAAACACAAGAUACAAAAAAAAAAAAAAAAAAACCUCCACAUCAAAAUAUACCCCACAACUUCAGACCUCAUCCAUCACAAGCCAAACACCAAUAUCCACCAAUAAAAGCAUAAACAAAAAAGAAAAAUGCCAACACUUUACAUGAAAACCAGAAACAAAUCCAAAAACAAAGCCACAACAUUAUUCUUCAAAAUAAAGAAGUCAAAAAUAGGUAUGAAAAAUUUUAUACCUAGAUCUCACCGAGAGUAGCAAAUUUCAGUCGCCAACAAGUAAGUUUAGACUAUAAAUCGCUAAGAGAAGUCACAAAUCGCCAAAAAUUGCUCAAAAGAUGGAGCUGUCCAGAGGCUGUCAUAGACACAAUGAAACCCAUUAGAGAUAUAAAAAAAAAUAGGGGGAGCCUGGAGAUAAAAAAAAAAGAGGAAGUCAAAAAAAAAAAAAAAAAAAGAAAACAGUCAGGGUGAUUUAAAAGGAAAAAGAGGAGGAGCAUGGAUUAAAAAAAAAAAAGGGCCACUGGAAGAAACGAAGAAGAAGCAAAAUGGGGGGGAGAAGAUGGCUUACCACAAGGAGAUCACUGCACUACCAGCCGAACGCCGUCGUCAUGCCACCACCGGAAAUCACGGGAGCCAAGGCCGGCCGAGAAGGAAGAAAAAAAAAAAGAAAAGGAAAAAGAAAGAAAAAAAAAGGGGAAUGAAAGAUGCCUGGAAAAAGCUAAAGAAAAGAGAAAAAUGAGGAAUGCAAAAAGAGACAGAAACUGUGAUGGUGGGCCGAGAGCAAGCAACAAAAAAAAAAAAAAAAAAAGGAGAUGGAUGUCGAAAGGGCAAGAAGCAAAAGACAAAUAAAGAAGAAAAAAUGGAGAUGGGGAGGCGUUGGAAAUUGGAGAAGAAGAGAAAAAAGUUUUUGGGGAUGGCAAAAUGAAAGAGAAUAAAGGGGGAAUGAAAACGUGCAGAAGGUGAUUUAUAAAAACAAAAAAAAUUGUGAAGCUGGUGAUUGAAAUGAUUUGACUGGUUUUUGAAUUUUAAAAGCCAGAGCAAGCAAGAAGCCACUGGAAGUAAUUAAAUUUGAUGGGAGAUUAUGUUGGGAUUUUCAAAAUAAACGACAAGAGAUUGGCAUUCACAUAAGGAGUUUUUAAUUAAACCUGACAGAGCACACUGCACGAAAAGAAGAUCAAGGAUGUUUGCGUGAGAUUGGUAUUUAAAAAAAAAAAAAAACCAGGGGGAUGUUCCUCCAGGAAGACAUGCAUUAGUUCAGUGUAUAAAUAUCGCCACGUGUCACGCACAGUUCCUCCAAGAGUUUCUUGUGCCUCAAUUACAUUCGCCACAAAGAAACUAGGGGGAUGUUGUUUGGGAAGGAAAUACGAGACCAAUGAUGAAGCGCCACGUGUCGAUAUGUAAGAGAUUAAUUUGUCUCGAGUACCUUGGGUACCUCGGGUAUCUCGAGUACCUUGGGUACCUCGGUAUCUCGAGUACUCUAGGUACCUCGGCUACCCUAAGGACUCCGGGGGUACCUCGGGUACACCAUGAAAUGAUAUAAAAAUCUUCGUAAAUAUGUGAAGGGAUAUGUGGGCCCCGAAUCUCAAAAAGAUCCAUUUGAUACGUGUCGAAAAAUAAGGAAACCUUGUGCCGCAAAAGAGGAGACAGCCGCCUGUCACGCUAGCGAAUCCGCCAAAAGUGUGAUAUUAUGACAGUUGGGACCACCAACUUUUCCUGCUACACCUGCAAAAUUACAACGGAAUUGCAGAGGUAAGCGGGACCACUCCACUACGCCCAGCACGUGAAUACGCCACAAACUUGCUCUCCACUGAUAUUUUUGAAACGUCUAAGCCGCCAUACGCAUGAAAAUAAGAAUAUUCCUGACAUGACAGCAAAGAACGCCACUAAAAUAGCGCCAGGUGGCACGACGACCGGGGUACACCAUAUAAAUACUCAGGUUUGAUUUUUAUCAAAGUAAGUAAACACACUCACCACAAAAAACUAGGGUUUCUUCAACCUCAAAAUCUCCAUUACCGAGAGCUUGCAAGCUCUCUAACCUGAGAUAACCCAAUUCUGACUUGAGCGUCGGAGUGUGGUCGCCGGCCACCCCCGGCUCCACCUCUGACCUCUUUUUUGGUUGUUUCGCAGGUUUAAGGCGAGUUUCACCAGCCCUCCACACCUGAAGUCAGACCCCCUCCAUAUCCACCGUCAUCUCAAUCCUCAUUCACUCCACAAAAAGCCUAAACAGCCCGCACGUGCCGAACAAGCGAGGUACCCCGCUCUCCGACAAAAAUAUAAAUUUAUUGCUCUUGGGUUGGUUUUUGUGGUUUUUUAUUCAUUGACCCAAAAUCAGCCGCAAACAUAACCAUUUACAGCAUUAGUUAUAAUGAGGCCCUACCAGUUAGUUGACUUCACAAUAGUAAAUUAAAAACAGUGACAACUCACAAUAUACGUAAUGUGCUCUGUCAGAGCUAUGCUGUGCAGGCUACAGUUCGGAAUGAAAAUCGAACCUGUAACAUUUGUGCUAAAGUAUUGGUCAAAGUAGGCUUGGCAUGAAGCAAGAAUUGAGCUAGCAAACUCUAAAAGCAUCACAAUCUUUGUUGUCAUCUUUACCACUUUUCUAAAAUUUUUUCUGCAACUUCACCUAAUUCUUUGUCAUUGCAAUUAAAUUUGAGACGACAAUUCACUUCCAGUUUUAGAAUUGUGGUCCCUUAUACUUAAUUUAUUUGCUCGUGUCUGAUUUAUAUUUGGUUUGUUCAUCAUCCCAGUACAAAGAAAAAUAGGAUAUAACAACAAGAAUAUAGCCACCUUCACAAGAUGAUUGUUGUGAAAUCCACUUUUUGGCAACGCGCUUAAUACAUGCGCUGUUAAAAAUUAUUAGAAGUACAGAUUUUACAACAUGAAAACAGAAAAUAAGGGUAUGGCUCGUGAUCUAUGAUUGAGUUCAGGGUUGGCUUUAGAGUAUAUGGGGCUUUAGGCAAAAAAUUUUUUGUGGGGCCUUUUUUUAUUUUACAAUUUUAAUACUUAAAGAAAUAUAAGACUAAAAAAUUCAUUCGACUUUUAACUCUUGAAUUUUAAUAGUAAUAAAAAAAUAUCUUAAAAAUUUUUCAAAAACCAAACCUAAAAAAAAACCAAGAAGAUAUCUUUUUUACUUCCAUUAAAAUUAUUACAAAAAUAAAAAAAACAAAUACAUAAAAACAAUAUUAUUUUCAAAUAGAAUAUUUAGAAUAGUAGAAAGUUGAGAUGAUGAAUUGAUUAUCAAAUAAUAGAUAUGCACAUUGUAUUUUAAGAAACUAAUUUUUCUUUUUUAAAUGAAUCAAUGAAUGUAAUAAUUCUCUUCGUAAAAAAAAGAGAGCAAGAAAUCUAUUUAUUUAUUGAUUUUUUUAUAUUACAAGGUUUUAAUGGAAAUUAAAAGGAAUAUUAAAAAGUCAAAGAAUUUAAUUUUUUAGGAAACUUAAAAGGUAAAAAAAUUUAUUUUUUUUUUGAAAAACUAAUAAUGAAUGAAUUAAUGGCUAAACAAUUUUAUUAAUUAUAUCUCUUGAACAUUAAGGUUACCAAAUACUGAUUUUCUGUUAAAAAUAAUAAAUUCUUAGUUGUGAUUUAACUGUUAAUUAUAAAGAUGGUCUAAUAGGCUUUUCUACAAUACAUAAUUUUUUUUUAAAAAGAUGAUUAUUAAUUAAAUAACUAUUAAGAAAUACUAAAAAAAAAAUGAGGCAUUCAAAAAAUAUAGGGCCUUAGGUAAUCGCUUUGUUCGCCUAUGCUUAAAGCCACCCCUGAUUAAGUUGGUGGGUUGAGUAAAUAUAUAGCUUCUAAACUUUUAUCUUUGAUGGUUCUAGUUUAAUAUCAAGAAUGCCAUUAAAUUUGGGACAUGUUUCAAGCAAGAACUUAUUGUUAAUACCUUUAGUAUUAGAAGUAUAGAUUUUCUUGACCUCCUAUAAGUUUUUAAUUUUCUAAUUGUGAGUUUUUAUUUCAUACACGCAUGCAUAUGAACACGCUAACUAGUUAUUUUAUAAUGGUCCUUUUCUUGUUAAAAAAUGUUUUAAUAUUAAUUCCCUUCCUCUGAUAAAAAAUUUCAACUUCAAUUCAAUUUUCGCUCAAUUUUCAGAAAUUGAUAAUUCAAGAGACUGAGAGAGAGAUAAAUCAUAGAAUAAAAGAACUUUUUGUUAUUUUUAUUUUUUAAUAAUGGUAAAUUCGGAAAUAAAUGAGUAAUUGAAAACUAAGGACAUGAAAUAAAUACAUGGGAUCAAAUAUCACUACUCUCACAAAAUUGUUUUGGCAUGAGUAGUGCAACAAAAUACACGAUACAUAGAAUUUACUACUCGUUACACAACAAUGAGUCAUACAAUUCAUGUAUCAACCUAAUUUAACUGAGGAUAUUUUAAUAAUUAUAUGGGUUAAGCAUAUGUAGAUAAUUUCAAACUAAUGUGGCAUGUGGAGAUAAUUAAAUAAUCACAGUCACACUAAAAGGCUAAAAUCAAGGGAUUUGUCUCCUAUAGUCAAUGAUAAUCUUCGAGGGGGAUAAUCCCUAUCUUAUAGGAGAAAGAUUCAUGUUGUAUCUAUCUCCUUAAGGAAUUUUAAAGUAACUCUAAGAUCAUAUGUCAACUAUAUAAUAAAUAAAUGAUAUUAUGACAUGUGAGUAUUUAUUUUUAAGAACAUACCUCCUCUUGAAGCCAUAAGAAUUAAGAUUCUGUCCUAUUUAGAAAACAAUCUCUACAUAUCCUCAAAAACCAUCAUUCGUUUAUCCUCUAGCCUCAGGUACAUGAUUCCUCCAUUUUAUAUUUUAUUACGAGUUUCUGAAACUUAAAUCUCUUUUUUAUUUGCUUUUUUGGUGUUUAUAUGUUAAUUUACAUCAGAUACUGAAAUUUUCUUAUUUUCUCUGUUUAUAAUCUUUUGAUUUUCAUUUUUCAAAUAUUUGCCAUGUAAUGUAAUUAUUUAUAUAACGGAAACUUAUGAAUUUUUUUUUUGGGAUAUCAGAAUUGCAAGUAAAUUGAGUUGGAGCAGAAGGUAUGUUGCCAAAAACAUUAAAUUUAGACAAUGUAUGGGUGCAAAUUUCUUAGUUUCAUAAACAGUUUGUAAAUGUUCAUUUUAAGAAAUGUAAAUGUUCAUUUUAAGGUACAUGGGUUUGCAGGCAGUUUAUAAAUGUGUGUGUGUGUGAUAUUCUUGUCACCUGAGAAAUGCACAUAGUCAAAUUUUGUGCAAAUUUUAAUGUAUUUGUAAAUGCAUAAGUCAAAGUGAAGUAUAUAUUAAGAAUAAUGAAGUCAUACCUAUAAGAACUGUUAAUUUUUAGGAAAGUAAAAUUUAAUAUAAGUUAAUUAUACCUUUACAUAGAAAGAAAAUAUUUUGUUUAAGAAAAUUAGAACUAAAGAUACAAGUAAAUAUGCAAGCAAAUUAAGAAUUCAAGAGAUUAAGGCUACCAGUAUUUAAGAAUCUACCACACAAUUCAACUUAACAAUUAUUUAAUUAUUAAUCAAUUCCUAAUUUUAAAAAGACAAAUCGAAAUCAAUUUAUGUCUACUUAUAAAUAUAACAAUUAAGUCCAAUAAAUUUAAUUUCAUUUAGCCAUGAGCCCAUUAAUAAUAAAUCAAAAUAAUAUUUGGCUUUUCUCCAAUUUGAUUUCUUUAAGCACAAUUUAUUCCAUAAUCUUCAAUAAAAUAAAUUAACCAUCUAAAAAUAUAAAUAAAAGAGACUAACUAAUAUAAAAAUAGAGAGGAAAUAUGUUAAUAUAUUAUGCCCAUCACCAAUUAAACUUGGUACUAAUUGUUACAUCGAAUUAUUUAAUUAGUUUGCAAGAAAAGGAAACCUAGCCUAAUUGAUUGGUAGAAGGAAAAAUAAAAGAAUUUUUAACAAAGAAGGGAAAAAUAAAAGAAAUUUUCAAAAAAAAGAAGCUAAGCCUAAACGACCCUGUUACUUAUUCUCUCAUUGAUUCCAUUACGGUGCUGCAGCCACUUUGACGUUUGAGUAUCGUUUCUUUGUUUAGGUAAACCAAUAUAAUAAUGCGGCAUUCCAUUGCCUAUUUCUCCCCUACAUAUUCAGCUACAGUUUCUGCUGCUGGGCCUCACCCUGAGGCAGUGGUUGUUCGAUUGUCGACUCUUAUAAUUUAUUUUAUCUUUUCUUUAAUUUUUCCCCACAAAUAGGGCAAUAACAAGCACACAGAUAUCCCUCCUUGCACUAUGAUGCAAUUAGUAACUUGGCAAUUGGAAAAAGUUAUAGAAAUUGUAAUAUCAAAUGUUUUUAAAAAAAAAAAAGAUUUUGAGGAUUUCUACCACUGCACCUUCUAAUGGGCUAAACAGUGCUACAAGUAUAAUUCCUUUCUCUUGUACACAGAACCCACCAUAUUACUAUAGGUGAGAACUUUUUAAAAACAAUAUAAACUUCACUCUUGUUAAUUCAUGAACACAAAGACUCCAUUUAUAUAAGCAUUUAAAACAUGAAAAAGAAAAUAAUACAAUUGAUAUGAGCGAAUAAUGAUAGAUUAACAAAGAUUGAGUCGGUCAAUCUUUAUGCUAAUUAACAAUCAACUUUUCUUAAUCACUAAUUGAGACAGAAAAAAUCAAUAUUAAUUGAUUGUUUUGAAUAUUCUAUCAAUAUUACUUCAUUCUUAUCAAUAGGGAAUAAGGUUACUAUGCAAUAUGUAAGUAUUGAGCUUCAAGGGCUUUAUUUUAUAUAAUUGAUAAGUUAAGAUUCAUUCAUCCUAUCACUUACUCUCUUUUUGAGAUCAUUGGAGGAUAAGAAUAGAGAAUUCAAUUGAAUCACUUUUGCUUAUUGUGAUUUUGUUUACUCAUUAGCCUUGCUAGCAUGCUAGUAAAGCAACACUUUGCAACUGUUCCAUGGCAUUUUGAAUUUGUUAAUUUGGAUGUCUCAUGACCUUGAAAUUUAAGAUGUGUUUGGUACCAUUUUUUAUUUAACAUUUUUUAUUUUAUAAAAAUAAUUAAAAAAAAAGCGUUUGGUAGGAGUGUUUCAUAGUGAUAAUAAGAAAUUGUCGAGAAUGAAAUAUUUUCAUUCUUUAACUUUUCUUAACAAAUGUAGAAAACACAUUAUUAGCGUUAUCUGAAUUUUGUUUUAUAUCUUGUAUACAUUAAAUGUAUGGGGACCAUACUUUUGUGACUUUUGUAAUCUUUUUCUGUGAAAAAAAAUUGUGGGCCCAAAAGUAUUAAAUACAAACAUGGAACUUACAUGAUAAAUACACGGUAGAUUUUGUUAUGUUUAUGCAUAAAUAAAAUAAUAAUUAAUUUUUGUUGAAAUAAUCAUGGAUAUUAUAUAAAUUAGUAUAUAAUAUUUUAUUUAAUAAAACAUUUGAAAUAAUAUAAAAAAUAAAACUAGUCAUAAUUUGAUACCAAUAAUUAUUAUUACAUUAUUUUAUUUGUUUAUUCAAUUUUUGCAAAAAUAUAUAAAAUAACGAAAAGAUAAAUCUAAAAUUUAUAAAUAUAAUUUAACUAUUCUAAAAUAUUUUUUUAAAAAUUAUAUUAAAACACAUUUUCACUAUUUAUAUUUUUCAGAUAAACUUCCAAAUACAUUUUCAUUUUUACCAAAAAACUAAUCCUUCUUAUUUUCUAAACAAAAUUCAAAAACAACGAAACGAUACCAAACACACCUUUAUUUUUGAGAUUAUUUUGUGUUUCUUUUAUUAAUUUAAUAAAAAAAAUUGUGAAUGGGGCAAAUUGUCAUGGGCAAAUAAUCUCAGAUUUUCUAUAUUAAGACCAUAUCAUGAAAAUCGGAAACAAAUUAAUAUGGCUUUUUUUUUUUUUUUCUCCUUUUGCAUAAGUAAUGAAAGUUUUUGAGUUGGAGACAGCCUGCAGAAGCCACCAAAAAAUAAAGAAAAAUAGCAGAGCAUAUUUCUAGGCUAAUAGCCAGCUGUGAGAGUUGAUCAUCAAAUUCAUCUCUUGCUUUAUAAAGCAAAUUGCAGCGUGCGACGUGGUCCAUUGAAUUAUUGAAUUGAAUGGUAGGACAACCAACAAAUUAAAUGCUGCGUUUUGAGGAAAAGAACUAAAGAAGCUCAAAUUAUUGAUUAAUUAAUUUUACAAGAAAUUUUCUGCUCUCUUUGAUUCCAUUACGGUAUUGCUGCAGCUAGAUUUAAAGUUACAAUAUUCUAUUAAUGAAUAAGAAUAUAAUAAUAAUAAAAUUAUUGUUAUAUAAUUUUAAUAUUUUACUUUCUGGGUUCAGAAUUUCGGGCACUAACCAAACAAAAUGUGAUUAAUGUCUAGUUUUUUCGUGGAAACUCCUUCGGUGGUUAUCUUCUCCUUGCAGUAAUAACUGCAAAAUUAUUACAAAAGCAAAGAAAACUACAUAUAACAUUCUUUUUCUCUGUCUCUCUCUCUCUAUACAGUAGAGUGGUCUCUUUUAAUUAAGAGAGAGUUGAAGAAGAGUCAUAAAUUUCUCAUCUUGGCUUAUUGACUGAAAAUUCACGUUGCUGUUCUUGAAAAUUUUGAGAUCUGGUUUUGUGUUGAUUUGGAGAUGGGGAACCCAGAAGAUUUUUCAUAGAAAAGGUGGUCGUGGUUCAUAUUUCUUUUGUUUUUGACACAAUUUCCAUGCUUCAACUACACUCAUUGUCACUUACUUACUUUGUUAAUAAAGUGACAAAUAUAUUCGUAUGCUCAAAUGAAAUAUCUUCUGCUGGCUAUCAAACCUGGGCUUAAGCCUUUUCGUAAUGAUUUUUUUGUAUAUUUUUUUGAUAUACUUUUCUCUAUGAUUUUGAUCUCAAGCUUAUGUAUGGGAUUUACAAGGCAUCCUCUUUUGAGCCGAAAGCUUGUGCCAUGGCCUUUAUUGCUCAGGUUAAGUUCUAUAGUUGUUUAUCACUUCUUUAAUAAAUUUAGCCACAUCUUUGUGCUGACAACUUUUGAUCCGUUUAAUGUCCACGGGGAUUGUCUUCUUCUCCCUGAAAGCGUAUUCAAUAAGGCUAUUAAGAAAAAUUAUGAUGAAAAACACAAGUUCAAAAUUGAGCUUACUCCCAGACAGGUAGAAAUUUUGUAUUUCCUUCAGUGGUUUGGUGACCAUUUCAUCUUAUAUCCUUGAAUUCAUAAUAUUUCAAGCUUCUUCCAUGAAUUUAUGAUAUUUUAAAAUUUUCUUUUCAGGUUAGGAAGCUCUCAGAACUUUUCCGACCUGUUGCAGCCCAUGCAACUGCAUUACCUAUUCUCACUGCUUCCCUGCCAAGAGCUUAAAAUAGGGAAGUUUAUGCACUUGUAAGAGAGUCAAACCGGGAAAUAUUUGCUAGAGAUCCAUAUUCUAAUGCUAGUUCUAGGAGAUGUAAUCGAAUUUCUCCUGAAAGGGCAAUCAUGUAUUGUAUAUUUAAAGGAUCUGCACUAAGAGAGGAAGUUCCCCUUGAUAUAUACAUUACUGGAAAAGAGUAUCGUGCUUCUGGUCUUUAGAGAGAGAGGAAGAGCCUGGCUGCUAAUUCACACUGAUGCUUCUUUAGACAGGUACCAGAGAGGCCAUGAAAGAGGGCAACAACACCUUCUAAGAUACCCAUAUUCCAUAUAUGGUGACACCAUCACUCUAUCCAAGGGACUUGCUCCUGCUGAUCCUCUGUACUUGGCUGAGAGAGAUUAUCAGACUUAUUAUGUGGGUUCCAGACAUGAACAGCUAUUCAGAGUUUUCCCCUGUAGCUACAGCCUUCGAUUCCUACAAGCUAUUAUGGUGCUUCAUCUUUGGACCCAUAUCUGCCACCUCCAAGGAGAGAAGACAUGGCCUCAGGUUCCUACUCUGCUGCUGGAUUGAGAGUGACUUACAGAACUGAUCCCUUAAGAAGGGGAGAGAAUGAUGAAGCUGAUGGGUAAACUAUUGUAUGCCACAAGCGGUCUAUCAAACUACAACAGGCGAUACCCUAUGAAGUGCCCAAGCCGGAAUUGGCAGCCGCAUGUGUAUCAUUAAGGUACUCCUUUUCCCGUCCAUCUCUAUCUUACUGAUGACUGGUGUUUGAGUGUUUCAACUGUUCAUUCUCUGUACCGUUUGUUUCUCCUUUACCAAAUUUCUUUCUGUAUUUUGAGUCUAAAAGCAUAAUUGUCGACAGUUUGCCUGCUUUCAAGUAUAUUUCAAACCUUUCAAACCAUUUAGCUUUAUCCAGAAACUUAUGACUUUAUAGAAAGUAUUUGUUUCAUUGUAUCACUGAUGGUCAGGCCAUAAAAUUAGUUGAAUGAUGGUAUCAAGCGCUUUGCUAAUCCAACUUUCUACAAAUCAUAGACCUUUUCUCAUUCUGUAAUGGAGCCUUAGUUUGUUUCCAUUAUGUCAUUAUCUGUGCUUGAUCGGUCGCAUAUUCAUGUGCCAGAUAUUCACAUGGCGCGCGAGAGUUUCUAAGCCACUUUAUAGGACCUGCAAUUGUCUUAAACAAGCAUCUUCUUAAAUUAUUUUAAUUCCUAAUUUCUUAGGCUGAAGUAGUGUUCUGUGCUAUUGAGUUUUUUCAUGCCCCAUAUUCUGAAAAUUGAAAAUUAAUAUUUGUUUACUUUCCUCCUGAAGAUUGAAAAUUUAUAUAGUUAAUUUUCAAAUUGAGUAUGUUAUUUUAAAUGUAGCACCCAUCUCCUUUAAGGAUAUAACCUUUUAAAAACAAUAUAAAUUUCACUCUUGUUAUUUGACGAGUACAAAGACUCAAUUUAUAUAAGCAUUUAAAACAUGAAAAAAAAAUGAUAAAACUGAUAUGAGUGAAUAAUGAUAGAUUAAGUGAUUAAUAAAGAUUGAGUCAGUCAAUCUUUAUGCUAAUUAACAAUCAGCUUUUCUUAAUCACUAAUUCAGACGAAAACAAUGAAUUAUUAAUUGAUUGUGUUGAAUAUUCUAUCAAUAUUACUUCAUUCUUAUCAAUAGGGAAUAAGGUUACCAUGCAAUAUGUAAGUAUUGAGUUUCAGGGGCUUUAUUUAUAUUAUUGACAAGUUAGGGCUCAUUCAUCCAAUCACUUACCCUCUUUUUGAGAUUAUUAGACGAUAAGAAUAGAGGACUUUAGCUUAUUGUGAUUUUGUUUACUCAUUAACCUUGCUAGCAUGCUAGUAAAGCAACACUUUGCAACUGCUCCAUGGCGUUUUGAAUUUGUUAAUUUGGAUGUCCCAUGACCUUGAAAUUUAGGAUAUGUUUGCUAUCAUUUUUUAUUGAAUAUUUUUUUUUAUAAAAAUAAUUAAAUAGAAAAUGCGUUUGGUAGGAGUGUUUCAUAGCGAUAAUAAGACAUUGUCGAGAAUAGAAUAUUUCAAUUCUUUAACUUUUCUUAACAAAUGUAGAAAACACAUUAUUAGCGUUAUCUGAAUUUUGUUUUCUAUCUUGUAUACAUUACAUGUAUGCCCGUAUGGGGACCAUACUUUUGUGAGUUCUGUAAUCUUUUUCUGUGAAAAAAAAAUUGUGGGCUCAAAAAUAUUAAAUACAAACAUGAGACUUGCCAUGAUAAAUACAUGGUAGAUUUUAUUAUGUUUAUGCAAUAAAUAAAAUAAUAAUUAAUUUUUGUUGAAAUAAUCAUGGAUAUUCUAUAAAUUAUUGUAGAAUAUUUUAUUUAACAAAACUUUGAAAUAAUAAAAAAAAUAAAACUACUCAUAAUUUGAUAUCAAGGGUGCAAAUUUCUUAGUUUCAUAAACAGUUUGUAAAUGUUCAUUUUAAGAAAUGUAAAUGUUCAUUUAAGGUACAUGGGUUUGCAGGCAGUUUAUAAAUGUGUGUGUGUGUAUUAUUGUCACCUGAGAAAUGCACAUAGUCAAAUUUUGUUGCAAAUUUUAAUGUAUUUGUAAAUGCAUAAGUCAAGUGAAGUAUAUAUUAAGAAUAAUGAAGUCAUACCUAUAAGAACUGUUAAUUUUUAGGAAAGUAAAAUUUAAUAUAAGUUAAUUAUACCUUUACAUAGAAAGAAAAUAUUUUGUUUAAGAAAAUUAGAACUAAGAUACAAGUAAAUAUGCAAGCAAAUUAAGAAUUCAAGAGAUUAAGGCUACCAGUAUUUAAGAAUCUACCACACAAUUCAACUUAACAAUUAUUUAAUUAUUAAUCAAUUCCUAAUUUUAAAAAGACAAAUCGAAAUCAAUUUAUGUCUACUUAUAAAUAUAACAAUUAAGUCCAAUAAAUUUAAUUUCAUUUAGCCAUGAGCCCAUUAAUAAUAAAUCAAAAUAAUAUUUGGCUUUUCUCCAAUUUGAUUUCUUUAAGCACAAUUUAUUCCAUAAUCUCAAUAAAAUAAAUUAACCAUCUAAAAAUAUAAAUAAAGAGACUAACUAAUAUAAAAAUAGAAAGGAAAUAUGUUAAUAUUAUGCCCAUCACCAAUUAAACUUGGUACUAAUUGUUACAUCGAAUUAUUUAAUUAGUUUGCAAGAAAAGGAAACCUAGCCUAAUUGAUUGGUAGAAGGAAAAAUAAAAGAAUUUUUAACAAGAAGGGAAAAAUAAAAGAAAUUUUCAAAAAAAGAAGCUAAGCCUAAACGACCCUGUUACUUUUCUCUCAUUGAUUCCAUUACGGUGCUGCAGCCCACUUUGACGUUUGAGUAUCGUUUCUUUGUUUAGGUAAACCAAUAUAAUAAUGCGGCAUUCCAUUGCCUAUUUCUCCCCUACAUAUUCAGCCACAGUUUCUGCUGCUGGGCCUCACCCUGAGGCAGUGGUUGUUCGAUUGUCGACUCUUAUAAUUUAUUUUAUCUUUUCUUUUUAAUUUUUCCCCACAAAUAGGGCAAUAACAAGCACACAGAUAUCCUUGCACUAUAUGAAUGCAAGUAACUUGGCAAUUGGAAAAAGUUAUAGAAAUUGUAAUAUCAAAUGUUUAAAAAAAAAAAAAAGGAUUUUGAGGAUUUCUACCACUGCACAUUUUAGUGGCUAAACAGUGCUACAGGUAUAAUUCAUUUCUCUCGUACACAGAACCCACCAUAUUACUAUAGGUGAGAACUUUUUAAAAACAAUAUAAACUUCACUCUUGUUAAUUCAUGAGCACAAAGACUCUAUUUAUAUAAGCAUUUAAAACAUGAAAAAGAAAAUAAUACAAUUGAUAUGAGCGAAUAAUGAUAGAUUAACAAAGAUUGAGUCAGUCAAUUUUUAUGCUAAUUAACAAUCAGCUUUUCUUAAUCACUAAUUGAGAUAGAAAAAAUCAAUUAUUAACUGAUUGUUUUGAAUAUUCUAUUAAUAAUACUUCAUUCUUAUCAAUAGGUAAUAAGGUUACUAUGCAAUAUGGGGUAAAAGCUCAUUUAGUUCUUAUAGUUUAAGAUAAGUAUCCAUUUAGUCCCUAUUUUUUAAAAUACCUUAAAACUUCCCUGCCGUUAAAGUAUUGAUACCCCUACCGUUAUUUUUUAUUUUUUUUGGCUUACUUUUACAAUAUUACCCUUUAAUAAUAUUUUUUUGUUUGGACAUUAAUAAAAAUAAAAUAAUUAAAUUACCAAUUUAACCCUAAAAAAUAAAAAAAAAUAUUUAUAUUAAUUUUUAAUUGUCAAAAAUUGUAUGCAAACUACCAAGUGUGCAAACGGUGCUUGCAAAAAAAAAUUAAUAUAAAUUUUUUAUUUUUAGGGUUAAAUUAGUAAUUUAAUUAUUAUUUUUUAUUAAUGUCAAAAAAAUUAUUAUAAAAGGGUAAUAUUGUAAAAGUAAGUAAAAGAAAUGAAAAGUAACGGUAGAGGUGUCAAUACUUUAACGGUAGGGAUGUUUCGAGGUAUUUUUUAAAAAUACAGAGACUAAAUGAACACUAAUCUUAAAAUAUAGGGACUAAAUAGACUUUCACCCAUGCAAUAUGUAAGUAUUGAGCUUCAAGAGCUUUAUUUUUAUAUAAUUGAUAAAGUUAGGAUUCAUUCAUCCUAUCACUUACUCUCUUUUUGAGAUCAUUGGAGGAUAAGAAUAGAGGAUUCAAUUGAAUCACUUUUACUUAUUGUGAUUUUGUUUACUCAUUAGCCUUGCUAGCAUGCUAGUAAAGCAACACUUUGCAACUGUUCCAUGGCGUUUUGAAUUUGUUAAUUUGAAUGUCUCAUGACCUUGAAAUUUAGGAUGUGUUUGGUACCAUUUUUUAUUGAACAUUUUUUAUUUUAUAAAAAUAAUUAAAAAAAAAGCGUUUGGUAGGAGUAUUUCAUAGCGAUAAUAAGAAAUUGUCGUGAAUGAAAUAUUUUCAUUCUUUAACUUUUCUUAACAAAUGUAGAAACACAUUAUUAGCGUUAUCUAAAUUUUUUUUAUAUCUUGUAUAUUGUAUACAAUAAAUGGGAUUACUUUUGUUCUUUUGUUUUUUAUGUGGCCCAAAAGUAUUAAAUACAAACAUGGAACUUACAUGAUAAAUACACGGUAGAUUUUGUUAUGUUUAUGCAUAAAUAAAAUAAUAAUUAAUUUUUGUUGAAAUAAUCAUGGAUAUUAUAUAAAUUAGUAUAUAAUAUUUUAUUUAAUAAAACUUUGAAAUAAUAUAAAAAAUAAAACUACUCAUAAUUUGAUACCAAUAAUUAUUAUUACAUUAUUUACUUGUAUAUUCAAUUUUUGCAAAAAUAUAUAAAAUAACGAAAAGAUAAAUCUAAAAUUUAUAAAUAUAAUUUAACUAUUCUAAAAUAUUUUUUUUAUAAAAAUUAUAUUAAAACACAUUUUCACUAUUUAUAUUUUUCAGAUAAACUUCAAAUACAUUUUCAUUUUUACCAAAAAACUAAUCCUUCUUAUUUUCUAAACAAAAUUCAAAAACAACGAAACGAUACCAAACACACCUUUGUUUUUGAGAUUAUUUGUGUUUCUUUUAUUAAUUUAAUAAAAAAAAUUGUGAAUGGGGCAAAUUGUCAUGGGCAAAUAAUCUCAGAUUUUCUAUAUUAAGACCAUAUCAUGAAAAUCGGAAACAAAUUAAUAUGGCUUUUUUUUUUUUUUUCUCCUUUUGCAUAAGUAAUGAAAGUUUUUGAGUUGGAGACAGCCUGCAGAAGCCACCAAAAAAUAAAGAAAAAUAGCAGAGCAUAUUUCUAGGCUAAUAGCCAGCUGUGAGAGUUGAUCAUCAAAUUCAUCUCUUGCUUUUAAAGCAAAUUGCGUGCGACGUGGUCCAUUGAAUUAUUGAAUUGAAUGGUAGGACAACCAACAAAUUAAAUGCUGCGUUUUGAGGAAAAGAACUAAAGAAGCUCAAAUUAUUGAUUAAUUAAUUUUACAAGAAAUUUUCUGCUCUCUUUGAUUCCAUUACGGUAUUGCUGCAGCUAGAUUUAAAGUUACAAUAUUCUAUUAAUGAAUAAGAAUAUAAUAAUAAUAAAAUUAUUGUUAUAUAAUUUUAAUAUUUUACUUUCUGGGUUCAGAAUUUCGGGCACUAACCAAACAAAAUGUGAUUAAUGUCUAGUUUUUUCGUGGAAACUCCUUCGGUGGUUAUCUUCUCCUUGCAGUAAUAACUGCAAAAUUAUUACAAAAGCAAAGAAAACUACAUAUAACAUUCUUUUUCUCUGUCUCUCUCUCUAUACAGUAGAGUGGUCUCUUUUAAUUAAGAGAGAGUUGAAGAAGAGUCAUAAAUUUCUCAUCUUGGCUUAUUGACUGAAAAUUCACGUUGCUGUUCUUGAAAAUUUUGAGAUCUGGUUUUGUGUUGAUUUGGAGAUGGGGAACCCAGAAGAUUUUUCAUAGAAAAGGUGGUCGUGGUUCAUAUUUCUUUUGUUUUUGACACAAUUUCCAUGCUUCAACUACACUCAUUGUCACUUACUUACUUUGUUAAUAAAGUGACAAAUAUAUUCGUAUGCUCAAAUGAAAUAUCUUCUGCUGGCUAUCAAACCUGGGCUUAAGCCUUUUCGUAAUGAUUUUUGUAUAUUUUUUUGAUAUACUUUUCUCUAUGAUUUUGAUCUCAAGCUUAUGUAUGGGAUUUACAAGGCAUCCUCUUUUGAGCCGAAAGCUUGUGCCAUGGCCUUUAUUGCUCAGGUUAAGUUCUAUAGUUGUUUAUCACUUCUUUAAUAAAUUUAGCCACAUCUUUGUGCUGACAACUUUUGAUCCGUUUAAUGUCCACGGGGAUUGUCUUCUUCUCCCUGAAAGCGUAUUCAAUAAGGCUAUUAAGAAAAAAUUAUGAUGAAAAACACAAGUUCAAAAUUGAGCUUACUCCCAGACAGGUAGAAAUUUUGUAUUUCCUUCAGUGGUUUGGUGACCAUUUCAUCUUAUAUCCUUGAAUUCAUAAUAUUUCAAGCUUCUUCCAUGAAUUUAUGAUAUUUUAAAAUUUUCUUUUCAGGUUAGGAAGCUCUCAGAACUUUUCCGACCUGUUGCAGCCCAUGCAACUGCAUUACCUAUUCUCACUGCUUCCCUGCCAAGAGCUUAAAAUAGGGAAGCUUAUGCACUUGUAAGAGAGUCAAACCGGGGAAAUAUUUGCUAGAGAUCCAUAUUCUAAUGCUAGUUCUAGGAGAUGUAAUCGAAUUUCUCCUGAAAGGGCAAUCAUGUAUUGUAUAUUUAAAGGAUCUGCACUAAGAGAGGAAGUUCCCCUUGAUAUAUACAUUACUGGAAAAGAGUAUCGUGCUUCUUGUCUUUAGAGAGAGAGGAAGAGCCUGGCUGCUAAUUCACACUGAUGCUUCUUUAGACAGGUACCAGAGAGGCCAUGAAAGAGGGCAACAACACCUUCUAAGAUACCCAUAUUCCAUAUAUGUGACACCAUCACUCUAUCCAAGGGACUUGCUCCUGCUGAUCCUCUGUACUGGCUGAGAGAGAUUAUCAGACUUAUUAUGUGGGUUCCAGACAUGAACAGCUAUUCAGAGUUUUCCCCUGUAGCUACAGCCUUCGAUUCCUACAAGCUAUUAUGGUGCUUCAUCUUUGGACCCAUAUCUGCCACCUCCAAGGAGAGAAGACAUGGCCUCAGGUUCCUACUCUGCUGCUGGAUUGAGAGUGACUUACAGAACUGAUCCUUAAGAAGGGGAGAGAAUGAUGAAGCUGAUGGGUAAACUAUUGUAUGCCACAAGCGGUCUAUCAAACUACAACAGGCGAUACCCUAUGAAGUGCCCAAGCCGGAAUUGGCAGCCGCAUGUGUAUCAUUAAGGUACUCCUUUUCCCGUCCAUCUCUAUCUUACUGAUGACUGGUGUUUGAGUGUUUCAACUGUUCAUUCUCUGUACCGUUUGUUUCUCCUUUACCAAAUUUCUUUCUGUAUUUUGAGUCUAAAAGCAUAAUUGUCGACAGUUUGCCUGCUUUCAAGUAUAUUUCAAACCUUUCAAACCAUUUAGCUUUAUCCAGAAACUUAUGACUUUAUAGAAAGUAUUUGUUUCAUUGUAUCACUGAUGGUCAGGCAUAAAAUUAGUUGAAUGAUGGUAUCAAGCGCUUUGCUAAUCCAACUUUCUACAAAUCAUAGACCUUUUCUCAUUCUGUAAUGGAGCCUUAGUUUGUUUCCAUUAUGUCAUUAUCUGUGCUUGAUCGGUCGCAUAUUCAUGUGCCAGAUAUUCACAUGGCGCGCGAGAGUUUCUAAGCCACUUUAUAGGACCUGCAAUUGUCUUAAACAAGCAUCUUCUUAAAUUAUUUUAAUUCCUAAUUUCUUAGGCUGAAGUAGUGUUCUGUGCUAUUGAGUUUUUUUCAUGCCCCAUAUUCUGAAAAUUGAAAAUUAAUAUUUAGUUUACUUUCCUCCUGAAGAUUGAAAAUUUAUAUAGUUAAUUUUCAAAUUGAGUAUGUUAUUUUAAAUGUAGCACCCAUCUCCUUUAAGGAUAUAACCUUUUAAAAACAAUAUAAAUUUCACUCUUGUUAUUUGACGAGUACAAAGACUCAAUUUAUAUAAGCAUUUAAAACAUGAAAAAAAAAAAUGAUAAAACUGAUAUGAGUGAAUAAUGAUAGAUUAAGUGAUUAAUAAAGAUGAGUCAGUCAAUCUUUAUGCUAAUUAACAAUCAGCUUUUUCUUAAUCACUAAUUUCAGACGAAAACAAUGAAUUAUUAAUUGAUUGUGUUGAAUAUUCUAUCAAUAUUACUUCAUUCUUAUCAAUAGGGAAUAAGGUUACCAUGCAAUAUGUAAGUAUUGAGUUUCAGGGGCUUUAUUUAUAUUAUUGACAAGUUAGGGCUCAUUCAUCCAAUCACUUACCCUCUUUUUGAGAUUAUUAGACGAUAAGAAUAGAGGACUUUAGCUUAUUGUGAUUUUGUUUACUCAUUAACCUUGCUAGCAUGCUAGUAAAGCAACACUUUGCAACUGCUCCAUGGCGUUUUGAAUUUGUUAAUUUGGAUGUCCCAUGACCUUGAAAUUUAGGAUAUGUUUGCUAUCAUUUUUUAUUGAAUAUUUUUUAUUUUAUAAAAAUAAUUAAAUAGAAAAUGCGUUUGGUAGGAGUGUUUCAUAGCGAUAAUAAGACAUUGUCGAGAAUAGAAUAUUUCAAUUCUUUAACUUUUC
rnacentral:lncRNA from 1 species